rnacentral:misc_RNA from 1 species
ACGUCUCGCUUUUAUAAAAACGUCAUACUUUUAAAACAGAAGCUCUUUUAAACUUUUACCAUUAAGCUUUUUACAAAGAGAGAGACAAUAUUGAUUAAUUGAAUUGAUUAAAAAAUACAAUAUUGGCCUUUUAUUUCCCUCGUUAUUUUCCUGUUUUCCCCUUACUGAAAAGGAGUGAAAAAAUUCUCGCGAAAACUUCGUUUCUAUGGAAGGCUUUGAGUUCCUAUGGAGGCUCUGAAUGCUCUUAAAAGAAUUUAUUUAAGCAUAAAUUUUCUUUAAGGGAUUAUUCAAUAAAGAAUUGGGAACAUUUCACUAGAUUUUAACAUUCUCACUCAAAGCAACUUUCAGUGAUCAGAGCAAUUUGCUGCAUAGUGUAACUGGUGGGCCUGGGAGGACUUGAACCUCCGACCUCACGCUUAUCAAGCGCGCGCUCUAACCGACUGAGCUACAAGCCCUACGAGGAAAACCAGAAAACUUUCAAUCGCAUAAUCUAAUCAAAGAAACACUCUCUUCCAUCCCCCCUCAGAGGCUUGCAUAAACAGAUCGCCAGAAGGCUUGGGA